rnacentral:miRNA from 1 species
AUGAGGUGCUGUGCAAAGGACU